CCUACAACACUACCAACAAUGACAAGGAAAGAAAGAUCUAGAUGGUAAUGAAAGCAAAAAACAAUGUUGGGGAAGGACACUAUUUUUUUUUUUGGUAAAAGGGAAGGACACUAUUUGAAUCAUGUUUGGAAAACAAGAUGGUACUCCCAGUACUCUUUAAAUCUUAAUCAAUAACAAAUUUUGUCAGUAAUUUUUCUGGUAGUUUACGGUGGUUAUUAGAGCUCCUUCCGAUGGCAAAUCGAUUCGACAACAAACCUUGUCGGCGAAGGCAAAACAAAAAAAUAAUCUUCGUCUCUCCACGUUUUCAAAGCAAACAGCGAAGGCACUUUCUUUAAAGAGGUAAACGGCGAGCACCGGCGGUUGGGGUAGGAGUAGCGGUUGAAGGAGUGGAGGAAGAGUGGUGCUGAGAGUGACGAGGAGAUGAAGGAUGGUGGAUCUUGAUGUUAGGGAGAUGAGGAUAAUCAGAUUAUGGAUUCAUGAUCUCUUUUUCUUCUUCUUCUCUGCUUGAUUCAACAGAUUUAUAGAAACUUUUAUUUUUUUUCCGAUCGAGAGGAAGAUGAUGACGAAGAAGAAGAGACAGUCGUGUUUUGUCAAUUUUAAUUAGUCUCUCCAUGUUUUCAACACUACUUUAUCAAGUGGGCUUAUACUUUUGGGCUUUGUUAUUUUAUUUUUUUCGUCAUACUUUUGGGCUUUGUUAUUUUUU
rnacentral:lncRNA from 1 species